rnacentral:lncRNA from 1 species
GACAGGGAGGAGUCUCAUUUUGCAUCAAGAGCUUUCCAUGGGUCAUCUUAUUUCACCCUGCACGAUGCUGUGUGGUCUCAUCACCACUGAACACACAAGACCCUGAGACUCUGAGAGGUAGACACUGCACUCUACAGCUGCGAUUCACACCUGGAUCUGCUGGCUCAAGGUCUGCACUCUUUCCACUGCACCACAGUAACCCACAUGAAUCAGCAAUGAAAAGGCAAGACGGAGUAAGCUUCAAGCACCGAUGACCAUCUGUUUUAGCCCAAGUUGCCUAUGAAACAGAGCGUUAUGCAGAAGCUGAAGUACUAAUGCCUUAUUAGAGGAUGCAAGCCCAGGGAAGCAAGAGUGAGAGGUAAAGAAAGAGAUAAAGGAGGAACAACCAAUGGACAGGGGUGCAUUACCAAGAUGGCCACUACUUCAUUACAAAAAGAACUGAUAGAUCCAUCCUGUGGCAUGGCUCAGAGAGGCUACAGGAAACAUGGCAUCUCAGAGCAUCAUUUAGGAAAGGAAGGGUCCUGGGGACUUUUUCUUCUUAUGUCUGUACCUCAUCAGUUAAUUCUGGCUCCAUACAGAAUGCAAAAAUAUCUACUCACUGCUCUAGGAUCCCCUACUGUUAAUCAUAGAAAGCCAAUCACCAGGUAUGAACUUGCAGAAAGCACAAUCUUUAGGAACUGAGUGCUCCUUAAUGCCUUUUCACAGAAGGAAUUAUUUCCCUCCAGUUGUCCCUGUGGCUUGUUUGCCAUGGUGUCCUCACCUAAGCAUUUGAGGAAUAAACAAAAGUGAAUGAAAAUGGUGGUUGUCUGAUUGUUGUCAUGGUUGCACGAUACUGCAGCUUCCUACUCUAGCCAGAGAGUUCUGUGUCCAUUUUCUUGGUCUAAUACGCACUCUA